rnacentral:rRNA from 1 species
UACGGAGGGUGCGAGCGUUGUCCGGAAUCACUGGGCGUAAAGGGCGCGUAGGUGGCACGGGUAGUCGUCGGUGAAAGCUCAGGGCUCAACCCUGAGUCGGCCGGUGAUACUCCCGAGCUCGAGUGUGGUAGAGGCCAAUGGAAUUCCGGGUGUAGCGGUGGAAUGCGUAGAGAUCCGGAAGAACACCGGUGGCGAAGGCGGUUGGCUGGGCCACAACUGACACUGAUGCGCGACAGCGUGGGGAGCAAACGGG